rnacentral:piRNA from 1 species
UUCCAGAAGACUGGGAGUUAAUUCCAGCAU